UACGUAGGCAGCAAACGUUGUUCGGAGUUACUGGGCGUAAAGAGUUCGUAGGCGGCAUGACAAGUCGGGUGUGAAAGCCCUCGGCUCAACCGAGGAAUUGCGCUCUAAACUGUCGUGCUAGAGGAACCUAGAGGUGAGCAGAACUGAUGGUGGAGCGGUGAAAUGCGUUGAUAUCAGGAGGAACACCGGUGGCGAAGGCGGGUCUCUGGGCCGUAACUGACGCUGAGGAGCGAAAGCGUGGGGAGCGAACAGG
rnacentral:rRNA from 1 species